GUUUAAUUGGAACAGUUUCGCCAAGUGCUUACAUAGAAAAUGCCCUUUUCUUGAUUGCUCUUGACAUAAAAGUUACAAUACUCGAAUCACGUUUGCCACCAAACGUGGCAUGAUAAUAGCUGGGAUCCACAUAAUUAUCUUUAAUUGAUGGCCAAUGGAAUAUUCCCAGCACACAGCGCUCAGCGACAGCCAACUCCCUUUCACUUGUGCAAGGACCCUUGACAGCCAUUAUUUUGAGCCCACUGUAGGAGUUCUUUUUUCCAUAAAGACCACCAUUGUAAUCAGCUGGGGACCUUGAUGGUAACUCUCAGUAUCUUCAUAAUCAUAUUGAUUUGCUGUCCUAUGCUGAUGGCCAUAUCUUCAACUUUUAUGUCGUCUCUGAUUACAAGAAGAUUGCCACUUAAAAAAUACAGAAAUCUGCGUAGGGUACUGUUGAAAGCACUCAUCGUUAAAUAUGAUGGUCCACCACCGCCUAUAACAGGAUAAGGCAGCUUAUGAAGGACAUUUCCUACAAAAAUAGAUUUAAAAUUUCCUCGCACAGGCAUCAGUAGCAUUGUCGAUUUGUUUCUUUCCCAGAGUGUGCCUGCAGUAUCUUUUGCGUAAAGAGAUUGAUUAGACAAUGUGUAGGAAUCCACUCGGGUGAAAACGUGUAUUACGAAAGUUUCGGGACCACCCAUAAACAGAUAAUUAAAAAUUAAAAAAAUCAUAAGCUGUCUACCGACACUUGAUUAACAAAGCAAAUAAAUUUACUGUUGAUAAAUUACACUAUUCAGCGAAACUGAGAAUUCAAUUUUACAAUGUUGCCUUAUUUUUAUCUACAGUACAAAGUUACAAUUCUCACUCCAUUUUCAAAUUUAUGACACGCCUACUCUUCAGCAUUCUUACUCGAAUUCAAACUCAGAAA